GUGCUCUCCCCUGUUUCCGCUGCUGCCUCUCACGCUUCCACACCUCGCGCCACACCUGAUUUGGCCUCUCCGUCCUCGGUGUCCAACACGAGGAGCAGUACACGAGGCUGCACCGCAGCCGGUGACAAGGAGGAUGACAUUGGGAGGCGAUGACACCGCUGCUCAAACUGUGGCGACGUUAGAGCCAUUGGUUAUAGAGUCAACCACGAACGGGGCAGGCGACCUACAGAUCCCGGCGGGGCGCCAUUGAACUGCGAGAUGGAUCCAAUGGAGUUGUGGUGGGCUGUAGGAAGGAGGGAAAGACAGUGGCAUCACGCUUGAAAGACGGCGGCAUCAAGCUCGAAUCGGUCGCUAGCAUCAUCAAUGGUUUGAGCUAUCAAGAGUGGAAUGGAAGGUGGAAAGAGAAUGGUGCGAUUUCUUCAUCUACGAUAACUCUGCUCUUGUACUCUUGAGGAAUGCUGACCAGUGACACUGACAAACAUGGAUGGAGGAGGUUAUUCUGAAGUAAGUUUGAAAAAAAAAAAGACCUGGAUAGAUCAAAGAAAUACAUCAAGAUGUCGCAGAAGUGGCCGGGAAGGAUGUGUUGCCAACACCACCGAGCUUCGGGUAGAUGGCCGGCCGAAUCUUGAACACAACCCACACUGUCCCCAUCGUGUGGCCGGCAGUGUCGAGCCCUUCAUUCGUUGCUGCAGCAGAUUUUUCUUCGUACCUGGAGGAGAAGAAGCACAGUGUAA